rnacentral:snRNA from 1 species
AGAGGAUCCAUUGAGCCCAGGAGGUCGAGGCUGCUGUGAGUCGUGAUCGUGCCACUGUACUUCAGCCUGGGCAACAGAG